rnacentral:rRNA from 1 species
CGCUGAUAGAUAGGCAUGCGUUCCAUUAGGCAGUUGGCGGGGUAACGGCCCACCAAACCGACGAUGGAUAGGGGUUCUGAGAGGAAGGUCCCCCACAUUGGUACUGAGACACGGACCAAACUCCUACGGGAGGCAGCAGUGAGGAAUAUUGGUCAAUGGGCGUAAGCCUGAACCAGCCAAGUCGCGUGAGGGAUGAAGGUUCUAUGGAUCGUAAACCUCUUUUAUAAGGGAAUAAAGUGCGGGACGUGUCCCGUUUUGUAUGUACCUUAUGAAUAAGGAUCGGCUAACUCCGUGCCAGCAGCCGCGGUAAUACGGAGGAUCCGAGCGUUAUCCGGAUUUAUUGGGUUUAAAGGGUGCGUAGGCGGCCUUUUAAGUCAGCGGUGAAAGUCUGUGGCUCAACCAUAGAAUUNGCCGUUGAAACUGGGAGGCUUGAGUAUGUUUGAGGCAGGCGGAAUGCGUGGUGUAGCGGUGAAAUGCAUAGAUAUCACGCAGAACCCCGAUUGCGAAGGCAGCCUGCCAAGCCAUUACUGACGCUGAUGCACGAAAGCGUGGGGAUCAAACAGGAUUAGAUACCCUGGUAGUCCACGCAGUAAACGAUGAUCACUAGCUGUUUGCGAUACACUGUAAGCGGCACAGCGAAAGCGUUAAGUGAUCCACCUGGGGAGUACGCCGGCAACGGUGAAACUCAAAGGAAUUGACGGGGGCCCGCACAAGCGGAGGAACAUGUGGUUUAAUUCGAUGAUACGCGAGGAACCUUACCCGGGUUUGAACGCAUUUUGACAGCUCUGGAAACAGAGUCUCUAGCAAUAGCGAUUUGCGAGGUGCUGCAUGGUUGUCGUCAGCUCGUGCCGUGAGGUGUCGGCUUAAGUGCCAUAACGAGCGCAACCCUUGCCACUAGUUACUAACAGGUAAAGCUGAGGACUCUGGUGGGACUGCCAGCGUAAGCUGCGAGGAAGGCGGGGAUGACGUCAAAUCAGCACGGCCCUUACAUCCGGGGCGACACACGUGUUACAAUGGCGUGGACAAAGGGAAGCCACCUGGNGACAGGG